GACGAACGCUGGCGGCGUGGAUUAGGCAUGCAAGUCGAACGGUAGGAUACCUUCGGGUAUCUGAGAGUGGCGAACGGGUGAGUAACACGUAGGUGAUCUACCCUCAAGAUUGGGACAACCCAGGGAAACUUGGGCUAAUACCGGAUGAAAGCAGCAGUGAUGUUGUUUGAAAGGUGGCGUAAGCUGCCGUUUGGGGAUGAGCCUGCGCUCUAUUAGUUAGUUGGCGGGGUAAAGGCCCACCAAGGCGAUGAUAGAUAGGCGGCCUUAACGGGUGGUCGCCCACACUGGGAUUGAGAUACGGCCCAGACUCCUACGGGAGGCAGCAGUCGAGAAUAGUCUACAAUGGCCGAAAGGCUGAUAGUGCGACGCCGCGUGAACGAAGAAGCCCUUCGGGUGUAAGUUCUUUAUUAUGUGAGCAGUGCUUUCUAUGUGAACAGCAUGGGGAGAGAGAUAUUAGCAUAUGAAUAAGCAACGGCUAACUCCGUGCCAGC
rnacentral:rRNA from 1 species